rnacentral:rRNA from 1 species
GACGAACGCUGGCGGCGUGCCUAAUACAUGCAAGUAGAACGCUGAAGGAGGAGCUUGCUUCUCUGGAUGAGUUGCGAACGGGUGAGUAACGCGUAGGUAACCUGCCUGGUAGCGGGGGAUAACUAUUGGAAACGAUAGCUAAUACCGCAUAAGAGUAGAUGUUGCAUGACAUUUGCUUAAAAGGUGCAAUUGCAUCACUACCAGAUGGACCUGCGUUGUAUUAGCUAGUUGGUGAGGUAACGGCUCACCAAGGCAACGAUACAUAGCCGACCUGAGAGGGUGAUCGGCCACACUGGGACUGAGACACGGCCCAGACUCCUACGGGAGGCAGCAGUAGGGAAUCUUCGGCAAUGGACGGAAGUCUGACCGAGCAACGCCGCGUGAGUGAAGAAGGUUUUCGGAUCGUAAAGCUCUGCUGUAAGAGAAGAACGAGUGUGAGAGUGGAAAGUUCACACUGUGACGGUAUCUUACCAGAAAGGGACGGCUAACUACGUG